GGCAGAGCUUGGAUGUGAACCAUACUGUUUACCUGGUUGCUGGGAACAGCUAUCACGUGAGGGCAUGUGUGUGUGUUCUACCUGUCCUCCCUUGAUACUCCUGAGGUAGCUGGUCCUGUGCCCAACUUUGAUUCAUUUUUAGUGAAAAACAACCUGACCUGAAGAUAAGAAUUCACUCCAGCAAGAUCAUCAGCUAUGAUAAUUGGACCUCUCAGAGUUCAUGUUAACUGGUGACUUAUUGCACUCAAGAGUUCUUAUGUGUGAGAAGGUGUGAGCUUCAGAAGGAAGCAGGCAUCUCUGGAGCUUUUCCAUGCAGACUGGGAUCCAGCUCAGGAUAGUGGGAGCUCAGAGAACUGUUUGGAGGAUUGCAGAAAUGGAGACCAGGAGGAUGUCAUUGUGUUAUUUUCAAGUCAUCCCACUGCAACUGAAAUCUGAACCCCAGGAAGUUGCUGACCUGAUUCCAUUACCACAAUUCCUUUGGUAGCCAUGAAACUGAAGACUGGCUGGAUUUGGGAAUCUGGUUGUUAAAGUGCCCCAUGAACAUCCACAUCUCUGAGCUAUUGAGGCUUAGUCAAGGGAAUUAACCUGGGGAAACCUAAUUUUCUUCUAGAAUCACCCAUGUCAGGGUGUCUGAAAUA
rnacentral:lncRNA from 1 species